rnacentral:sRNA from 1 species
AUGAGCACAUGACCAGCUUAGCUUCUGUCCUAAAGGCCGUUGAUGCUCACUGCCAUCAGCUGCAUCCUCCCUAUGGCACUGAUAACUAGGAGUGGGAUUUCUGGGUCACAUG